CCGGCGGGGGAAGCGCCGGCAGCGGGCCGGGAUUUUCCCUGUCUGGAGAGGGGGGAUUUGCUCCCAACUUCGUGGGAGCCGGUCGGCUCCAGCCGGAUUCCCCCUGGAAGAUCCCGCGAGCCCGGGAUGGGAAUCUCCGCUCCUGAUUGUCCAAACGCAAUUCUUGUGCGAUGGAGCCGUACGAACCAAGAAUUGUGUCUGGACAUCUGUAGCAGAGGUUUCACCUCCUCCGGCGGGGCUCCAGGACGGUGCUUGGGGCGCAGGACGGAGGACGGACCUUCCCCGGGCCCGGCGCACGGCAGGUAACCGCUCCCGACUGCGGCCCGGCGGGACGGAGCCAGGAUUUCGGGGAAACUGAGGAAACACCGGCGGCGGCUCCCCUAGGCUCGGCGCGGCCGGGGGGCUCGGUCCUAAUGCGUCAAACACCGGCCGGGUCCCCACCAGGACGGGCAGCCCCGGGCAGGCUCCGGGCAGGACGGAGGGGCCGAGCCGCGGGCACCGGCGCUUGCCCGUGGGCGGCGGGGCCGCAGCCCGGGCGCGGCGAGCGGGCGACCCGGCCCUGCGGCUUCAUCCUGGUUUAUCCUGCUGGUGUUUAUUUAUUUAUCUAUUUUAACACUGCGGUUUAAUUUCAUUCCGUCGUGAGCCCGGCCCUGGGGCGCGCCGGGGACCGCUCUGCACCGGGACACCCUCCUCGUCCUCCUGCCGCAGCCCCCGCCGGCCCCGGGCACACGGAGGCCGCUCCGAGUCUCCGCCGAGCCGGGAACCGUCCCCGCCGCUCGGGCACCGGGCGGGCUCGGCGGGGAGCGGCCCCGGGCCGCGGGCACGGCCCUUGCUGCCCCGGUGAGCCCCUCGGAGCGGAGCAGCCCCCGCGGAACGGCGGCCGGAGGAAGGCACGUUCUAACAGAGAGGCUUUAUGAAUCCACCAGCCAAGCGGCUCGGCCGGGGCUGCCAAGGAAACCCAGGAGGAGGAGGGAAGCAUUACAAGAUCCGAGCAGAAUUUCACCAAGAGCCUAUCUAGGACAAAGCUGGAGGCAGAGAAUGUUUUAAAAGGCUUUUAUUUCAGAAACUUUUUGUUGUUGUUGUUUUUACAGGAUUUUGCUGUACCCCUCUUCUCCCACCCCCCUGGCUUCCCUCAUCUUCCCAUUUCUAGCUUUUUUUAGCAGUGAUUGGCAGCUUUUACUACAGCAGGAGCUAAGCCACCUGGGUCUACCUGCACUAUUGAGGGGAAUAACAGCUCCCGGGGAAGGAACCCAUCCAAUCUGAGCAAACAGCUGGGGGGGAUGAGAACAGACAAGCCCAGCCUAAGGCACAGAAGCAGCGUAGAGGCAGGGCAGGCAGCAGCGCUGAAGACAAACCUGCCUUUUCCCAUCGGGUUUCAGUCCAUUUCAAGCUGCACACCACACAGGUUCCUUGUUUUUUCAGCCAGCUCCUACCAUCAUCUGGAAUCCCCCUCCACUGCCCUGGCCCAGCAAAGCUAACAGCCAAGAACUGGGGAGAGAAGAGCCUUUGGCCCGUCCGUGUCAUUUACAAACGGCAUGAGCUGGACUCAAGUCGCUGUGGCUGGAUUUGGAAAAGGCUGAAUAUCAGUUUGUCACCAGCAGUGGGUGGAAGGUGGGGUUCCUCAGAUGCAGCAGCAUCAUAGUCCGUGGGUGCUUUUAGUUACGCAGGUUGUGGAGGGGUGAACGUGAGAGAGGAGAAGUCAGCUGAGGGAAUUACUCUUCGGCACUCUCUGCAUCAGACAGCGGAAUUCCUCCGUCAGGCGCAGGGCGGGAGAAGCUCCUUGUACGCAGCACCCGGGAUGCUGGGCCAGGCUGCCCAAGCAGGGGCUGGUGCACUGGCUGCUCCCUCCUCCCACCUCCUCCUCGCAUGUCCUGGAGACGGAGGGCUCUCGGAGCAGCGUGUGGUGCAGAUCAGCUUCGGGAUGCACCGACUGAGUACCAGAGAGCGGGAGCUGCCACCGGGGACCACCGUGCGCUGCCGGAGCCAAGCCCAAAUGCAGGUGAGCAGGGUGGGGGGGCAGGAACAACCAUCCCGGUCAGAUGCUCCUGGAAGCUCAAGCAGCACGUUUCAGACCUGUGGCACCAGUGCUAUCCUCUGACCCCGUCCCUCCGCUCUCGCCGUGGCCUCUGGGCUGGCAGGGGCCAGUCCAUCUAUCCAAGGAAACUUCUGGAAAGCCAACAGCAUCCGUGCCCUAGCAGAGCCAUGCACACCCCCUUCUACAGCGCUCACAGGACUUCCUCAGGGCACAUAGUAAGAAGCCUCUCCCACUGGUGGAAAGGGUUAAAAGCCUGACUUUCCCAGGUCUUGGCACUUCAACUGUGCAUCUCCAGCCCCAGCCUUUCCCUGGCCAGGCUGCAGCUCCCACCUGCACAGAACGCAGCGCAGCCCGAUCAAUGCUGUCCAUCACGGUGACAGAAAGAUCAUUUGCUGCCCUGAUCACUCCGUGCUGUCUCAGGCUGGGUGAGGGUUUGUUUCCCCUCCAACCAAAUCAUUACAAAUUGAUGUUGUUCGUGGGCCAGUACUUCACCCUCUGCCUCAGCUCCAGUAUGAGGGAUCAGAAAAACAGAACUUUUCAAAAAAGCCUAUUUCUCUCCUGCGUCCCAUAAAUAAAUACCACAAGUGGAAGUCACUACAGAGGGCUCUGAAGCUGUCAUGUUUGCUACCUCACAGAAAAGCUAGGCAAGCCACUUUUUGUUUCCUUGCACUUCAUGCCUCACCCUUCCCGUGGCUGGUGCACAGACUAUCUAAGUAUUGUAUUAAAAGAAUCCUGCUUCCCAGCACCAAGGCAGAGGCACCCCAGCCUUGCCCCAAAACAGGCACAACUCCCCCAGAACGCCUCACUGUCUCCAAAGACACGUCAUCCUACUUAGGGUUCAGCACCCCUUUUCCUCCCAUCACGGAAAAAUAAAGUCCCACAUCCUGCAGGUGCUCUCUGCUCGUUAGGGUACCUGAAAGCGCAGUCAGGAGAGGUGAAAUGAGGACCAAAAGAUGGAUGUCGUUGUGGUGGACAGCAGGCCGCAGGCUGCAGGGCUUUAUUUGGAUGUGUAGUAACAAGAGAACAUGGUGGAAAGAUGCAGAGGUCAGGCACAGGCAGUUCAAGAGAGGUUUGGGUGGGUUAAGGUUUUUGUUUGGGGUUUUUGCCCAGGGACUUGGAUUUACAUCCUCUUGUCUUUUCAGGAGUUCACCCGCCGUGCAAUGUCGAGAUGAAAACCACAUUAUCCUGGUCCUGGAGUUUAUAAUCCAGCUCACCCUGCAGGCCAAGGAAAAAAAAUGGUUUAAAUGUCAUUUUCAAAUACAAGCUGCAAAGAGAAAACAGCUCAUAAAAAGACAGUGAGUGUUAGGGAGACCAGACGGGGACAGACUGAUGUUUUCAUCACAGGAAAAGUGAAGGUGAGGGAUCAGCCACGGCGCUGAUGCUGAUCAGCCCACAGCGCCUUCUGGACCAGGGCUUUGACAGAACAGGUGGUUGCCUGAGGCAGGAAAAUAGCAAGGGGCUGUUUGUUGUCUGAGCAUAACAGUGGGCUGAGAAGGGAAGACAUUUACCAGGUGCCUGUUUGGGUAGAAAUCUCCCUGUGGCCUUCACCUGCCAGGCACCCCCUGACUCCAGGGAAGGUGGUUCUGCCUGGGGCCUGGAGCUGCCAGUACCCACCACAGUCACCCCACACAUGGGGGGACCCACCAGCAGUCAGAGGUGCAAAGCCCAGUGCCAGAGGCCAGGGAAAAAAAGGGUAAUCUCUCUUCAGACCUUGGCUGGCUGAUGAGACUCAGCAGGUUAGAGAGAGGCUCCAGGCUCCUGAACAGCCACAGCACAGGAGAGAGAUCCCAGCCUGCCCCUUCCCCCUCAAAUACAAGACGCUUUACUUGGAGCAAGAAUCAGAAACAGCUUCUCUGAGAGCAACCAAAGAACAGAGAGAGCAAUAUUUUCAACAAAGAAAGUCAAAUUUAAGGAGUACAGACCAUUAGUUCCCAGUCUGCGUCAUUGAUAAGCACCAAAAUUCCUGGCCUCCUGCAGAACAGAGAGAAAUAAUUAGGAUACAGGUCUGCUAAAAAGCUCCACAAACAGUUAAGAACAAGGGAUGUCACAGCACAGAUCACAAGCUGACUUGCUUAUAAAGCCAAAAAGGGAUCCUAGCAUGGAGGUGGAACAGGUACAGUCUGUGCCCUUUCUACAUCAAAUAAAGGGGAGGUAGGAGCACUCCCAAAGCUCAUUUGAAUCAAAACGCACCAUUCCCGAGGAUGCUCCAGGAUGAUACAUUUCCGUACGAUGCAGAAGAGCCAGGUAAUUAAAACCCACGCACGACAGUCGAGCGCAGAGAGCUCGAUGUGAAGGUAGGGAAAGCUAUUCCAGUGCCCCUACCACAGGCACUAAACACCUGGGAUCCACUCCAAGCCCCUGAUUCCGAGCAAAGGGAUUCCCCUUCUUUGAUCUUCGGUGUCCUGCAAUUGUCUCUCCUGUUACCAGGGGACCUGGCACACGCUUCAGCUCACAAAGAUCCGUGACGAAUGUUAAACACCCCCAGCGCCACCCCGCAGUCAGGGAUGGCUUGCACAGCUCACUCUGCUCCAUUUCUCUUGCCUUCUUUUUUUUUUUUCCUUGCCCCCCCCCAUCCUCCACGAGGCUGGCCCCAUUUUGACAAUAAAAAUACAUUUCCCAGAAGAA